rnacentral:tRNA from 1 species
UAGCUAAGUCAGUAAAGAGUCUGCCUGCAAUGCAGCAGACCCAGGUUCAAUUCCUGG